GACGAACGCUGGCGGCGUGCUUAACACAUGCAAGUCGAGCGGUAAGGCCCUCGGGUACACGAGCGGCGAACGGGUGAGUAACACGUGGGUGACCUGCCUCUAGCUCUGGGAUAAGCCUGGGAAACUGGGUCUAAUACCGGAUAUGACUCCACGGCGCAUGUUGUGGGGUGGAAAGCCUUGUGUGGCUAGAGAUGGGCCCGCGGCCUAUCAGCUUGUGGUGGGUGAUGGCCUACCAAGGCGACGACGGGUAGCCGGCCUGAGAGGGCGACCGGCCACACUGGGACUGAGACACGGCCC
rnacentral:rRNA from 1 species